rnacentral:tRNA from 1 species
AGGGGUAUGAUGCAAUGGUAGCAUGAAGCUCUCCAAAAGCUUUCAUCUAGGUUCGAGCCCUAGUACCCCUG